UGGGGAAUUUUGGACAAUGGGCGCAAGCCUGAUCCAGCAAUGCCGCGUGCAGGAUGAAGGCCUUCGGGUUGUAAACUGCUUUUGUACGGAGCGAAAAGGUCUGCCCUAAUACGGUGGGCUCAUGACGGUACCGUAAGAAUAAGCACCGGCUAACUACGUGCCAGCAGCCGCGGUAAUACGUAGGGUGCAAGCGUUAAUCGGAAUUACUGGGCGUAAAGCGUGCGCAGGCGGUUUUGUAAGUCUGAUGUGAAAUCCCCGGGCUCAACCUGGGAACUGCAUUUGUGACUGCAUAGCUGGAGUGCGGCAGAGGGGGAUGGAAUUCCGCGUGUAGCAGUGAAGUGCGUAGAUAUGCGGAGGAACACCGAUGGCGAAGGCAAUCCCCUGGGCCUGCACUGACGCUCAUGCACGAAAGCGUGGGGAGCAAACA
rnacentral:rRNA from 1 species